rnacentral:lncRNA from 1 species
GUGGUAAUAUGCAAGAACCUAUGAAUAAAAGGGUUUGAUUUUGUUCUGGUUCUUGCUGUUGGCAAAUCAUUUGGCAUAGGUGGUCUGAAGGUCCCUUUAUGGGAAGAGGGGAUGAAGCCUCUCUGUAUUAGUCUGGCUGAAAACAGGCUGACAAUAUCAGAACUUCCCAUUAUUUGUGGCUUACUUUAAUUAUAGAGCUCUUUACGACAACAAAAAUUCAUCAGAUUAACUCAAAAAUCAAAUUAUUAUCUUUCUUGCCUGGAAGAAAAAGCACAACUGCAUUUAUCAUCCAUUUAGCUUUUUUUCUUUAACACUAACGAUUAACAGUAAGGUAGCAUCUUACAUUUUUAAGCAUUUUGUACUCUAUUGGAUAUCUUCACUUAAAGUAGUUCUCCUAAGAGGAGUAAGAGAAAAGAUAGCUGUGAAAAAUACCUUCCUAACUAUGAAGACUUAAAAAUAAAUAAAAACUUAAAAAGAAGUUCAAUUCCUGUAACCCAUAGGAAAGGAGAUAGGCUUGCAUUCACCUCAGAAGGGAAGCAACCUCUGUCUUCUUCAUUCACGCACUGCAUAUUUACUGAGCAUCCUAUUAUAUGCCAAGCACUUUGGUAAACUCUGGGAAUAAUUCAGUGCAUCAGUCAUAUGUGUCCCAUGAUAUGAGGCCUGCAUCUAACAAGGAAUAUAGAAAUCAGUAAUAUUAUCAAAACGUAAUAGUCGUUACUCAUCCCAUGGAUUUGCUCAAAAAGGGCUGUGGGUUACUUUCUAAGAAUUGUUUCUCCUCUGGAACCAGAAGACAUAAUCAGUCAUUUAUUUAACGGUAUUUCACGUCUGCUAAGCACUAGGCACUUUGGUUCUGGAUUUUUGGUGGAAAGCAAGACAGAUAUUGCCCCUGCCUUUUUGAAUGUGAAACCACAUUACUUCUAAUCAUCCCGGAAUUGGCUGAGUUAUUAAUGACUCUGUUAACCUUUCAUUCCAAUAAGAACUACAAUGAGUAGUGGCUCAGUAUUAUAUUUUUCUCAGUAAAAUAUUGAUAUAAAGAACAGUGACUCAAACAUGAAAUGUUAGUGGCCUUAAUUUCCCACAGGCAAACCACAUUCAUACGCACAUGCUUUGGGCAGGCGUCAUGCAGCUAUGACCUCAGAACAGGAUAAUUCUGAAGUUUUAUAUGGAAGGGAGAGAAAGAUUUUUCCCUCACUUUGGCAACAAGUAGGCGACCUCAAAC